CUACUACCCAUAGGUGUGAAGCCUAUGAGAUGAAAACAGAUGGUCAGAACAUAACUUAUAAAAGCAGGAGAGAAGGAUAUUUGAAGAAUUAAGGAGAAACUCCUGCAUUUGUGACGCUAUUAAUGGAGGAAGACAGGCUGCUUAGGAGCCCUGUACUAGUUGUGGCCAUACCCAAGAAUGCUCUCCCUGCCCUGUGGAAGAUAAAAUCUGAAGAUAGAACAACUGAAUGUGGUCAGAGCAGAAAUCCAGAAGUUGCAGUGUACUGUGUGAUGCUGACUGGUAGUAAAGUUCAGUGGCUGAGUGUAGGAACCAGGCAAGCACAG